UACGUAGGGUGCAAGCGUUGUCCGGAAUUACUGGGCGUAAAGGGCUCGUAGGCGGCCAACUAAGUCAGACGUGAAAUCCCUCGGCUUAACCGGGGAACUGCAUCCGAUACUGGUCGGCUUGAAUCCGGGAGAGGGAUGCAGAAUUCCAGGUGUAGCGGUGAAAUGCGUAGAUAUCUGGAGGAAUACCGGUGGCGAAGGCGGCAUCCUGGACCGGCAUUGACGCUGAACAGCGAAAGCUAGGGGAGCAAACGGG
rnacentral:rRNA from 1 species